rnacentral:lncRNA from 1 species
UAACUUAUUUCUGUUCAUUGAAUUGCAGUUCAGCCGACAAGACGGGAUUUCUCCCUGGAUCUUGGUGCGUUGCAUACACCUGUCAAGCCGAAGCUUCAAGGGCAGCCUCAGGGGAGCAUCUCGCAAAGACGCUCCUGCAAUAACAAUGAACUCACCAUCCAUUUGCUGCCUGAUUCCUUGAAACGAUGAGCGAGUUAAGAACACAUUGACCAAACCGCUGCAAUUUGCACUUCUCUGGGGAAGGGUAUGGUAAUGCAUGAGUCUGGACUUGCACGUCUUCCUGCACAUCUACAAGUGAGGGAAUGAGGGCAUCAGAAACCCAGAGCAAGUCGAGGGCAUGCACGGUGGGUGAAGACAGGCGUGUCAGUGCUGUGUUUGUAUUCCAUCAUGGUCACUGAGAUCACAAACUUGGGCAGACACUAAGAAAACAAACAAAGUAUUUCAUCUGCUCCCCUCACUCUAUACUGGUAUCAUUAUUCUGGGGAG